GUCCGCAUACACAUUCACGCCCGGGGGCGCGGCCGCCACGUGGGGAGUGGCGCGGGGGUGGUACUGGGACCGCACCCCCCUCUCGUCCUGGCUGCGUGGGCCCCGCUUUCCCCCUGCGCUGAAGACUCUGAGCCCGGCCGGUCCCACCUUCCACGCGAGCUGAAUUCCCUCCCGCAUUCCACCGGGGCGGUGGGAACUGCGGGCUCCGGGAGGCGCUCGGGCUCCGAGCAGCGACUCAGCCCCUCACUCUUCCCUCCGCAGUGCCGCGGCCGCCCAGCCAGGAUUCCCGCGGGUCUCAGCGGCCGCGAGCGCGAGGCGGCGCGGAUUCCCGGCGCGGUACCGGCGCUGCUGCUCACCUCUCUCGCGUCGCCUCCCGCGGCUUCCACCUUGCACCUGGCGUUCCUCUGCGCGCCUGCUGGGCCCAUCUCUGGUUUCCCUUUUCUGCUUCUAGACCCCGCGUCACAACUGCGCAGACCUCUGCGGUCAGGAAAGCGCGUCGGGCGCGGGCAGAGUUGGAUCCGCUCGGGCUUCACGCUUUCACGCUUCGCGCGGGCAUCUCUUCCUCCUCCCGGGCACCGAGGCCAGAGCAGUGUUUCGAGCUAGAGGAUACUAAAGGAGGAAGAGGAGAAGAGGAGGAAGAUGAAGAGACCCUGGCUGGUCCUGAGGAGUGGACACCCUGCCUGGCCUCCCUGCUGCCCUCCUGAAGCAAGGGUGGAAGGCGGCCCCACCCUCUGCUGGAACACCUGCAGCUGGGCUUCCAUGCCCUCUGCCCCAUGACUCCUCCACCUGGCUUGUCUAAUGAGAGUGCCUUCCACCAUCGCUGGACCUUUUCUGGGAUUUGGCCUAAGGUGCUCUUCCUCCCAUCUGCAUCUCUGGCUGGGCAAUACCAACCUGGACAUGGUUCUGCUCCUGUGCUGACUGUUGGUUGGGCCCAACUGGGAAGUUCUCUACCAUCUGGUGGAGUUUAGGUCACAUAUGUGGCUGCACUCAUCUGGGAGCUACCUGCAGCUGAAACACUCGAGAUGGCCGCUCGUCCUCCAGAGCUUCUACCCACCUGGGCUCUAACCAUUCAGUCAUCUGGCUUUGGCUUCCUCAUGCUAUGGCAGUUGGGCUCCAAGAAGAGAGAAGUGGAACUGGCCAUUCCCUUUAAGGCUUGGACUUCGCUUCUGUCACACACUGUUGGUCAAAGCAAGUCACAGGCCUAAUGAUUCAAGGGGAGGGGAACUAGGCUGCACCUGUUUCUAGGGACAAAAGGAAGAGGUUGAUGACCAUUGGACACUAUCUAUCUCCCACAGCAUGUGGCAGUAAUUAUACAGGGAGCUCCUGGAGGGCAAGGAUCCAGCUAUAUAUCCACUCUUCCCAAGCCCACACGGUCAGAGAUUUCAGGAUACAGUGUGAACUCCAGCUUCAAUAUUCCUCAUACUGGAAUGUUGGUCUGGGAGAGGGUCGAGAGGUGGUGGAGUCAAGCCCAGGCUGUCGGCUGCCUCUGUUGGGACUCUUUAAUUUCAAGAUAGUGCAUCUAAAUGCUGUCUGGAAGUCUUUUUCUGGGCAUAGGUUAUGCCCCCUGCGGCAUGAUGGGCACAUUUCAUUCAGCCACAUGGUUACACAGAGCCCUGGAUCCAAACACAGACUUAAUAAUUAAAGCCUGUCUCUUCUCUCUCUUGUCAUUGUACAUUUAGAGCAUGUGGAAGUCAUUAGUGUUGUUUGUCAAAUAUUUCUGGCUGUGCACCUGCUGAACACAUGGCAGGAUUGCACUUCUUGGCCCUCUUGUGGUUGGGUGCAGCCUUGUGAUGAUUUCUGGCCAAUGAGUUGUGAAUGGAAGUGCCUUGUGCCUUGUAUGGACAUUUAAUGGCUUUGUGAAGCCUCCAGAGCUCUCUUUCCCUCUGCUUUUGUGCUGGCAAUGUUAGAGAUGGUAUCUGCUCCACUGGGCCAAUGAAGACAUGAGAAGCAGAGCCUCAUUCAACCCAUGAUGUGCAAAUGGCAACACCAGUCUGAGACCAUCCUAUCCAGAUUUAUCUUUCAAAAAACCCUAUCCAACAAAGGUGAAUUCAAAUGAAAGAGAAAAAUAUUCCUUUUCCAUGGGUUUCCCACUCUCCAAC
rnacentral:lncRNA from 1 species